UGGGGAAUAUUGGACAAUGGGCGCAAGCCUGAUCCAGCCAUGCCGCGUGAGUGAUGAAGGCCCUAGGGUUGUAAAGCUCUUUCACCGGUGAAGAUAAUGACGGUAACCGGAGAAGAAGCCCCGGCUAACUUCGUGCCAGCAGCCGCGGUAAUACGAAGGGGGCCAGCGUUGUUCGGAUUUACUGGGCGUAAAGCGCACGUAGGCGGACUUUUAAGUCAGGGGUGAAAUCCCGGGGCUCAACCCCGGAACUGCCUUUGAUACUGGAAGUCUUGAGUAUGGUAGAGGUGGGUGGAAUUCCGAGUGUAGAGGUGAAAAUCGUAGAUAUUCGGGGGAAAACCAGUGGCGAAGGCGGCUCACUGGACCAUUACUGACGCUGGGGUGCGAGAGCGUGGGGAGCAAACAGG
rnacentral:rRNA from 1 species